rnacentral:misc_RNA from 1 species
AAGACUAUAGACCUGCGGAGUACCUGCGGAAGGAUCAUUACAGGACUCGCAAGACUCCUACAACCCUGUGAACCUACUAUACGAACGUUGCUUCGGCGGGUGCGCCCCGGGGAUUCGUUCCCGCGGCGCGUCAGCCCGCCGGCAGCCUACAAAUUCUGUUUCUUUGCGUUGGCAUCUCGAGAAAAACAAAUAAGUUAAAACUUUUAGCAACGGAUCUCU